rnacentral:lncRNA from 12 species
AACCAAAAGAGAGACAUUAAAUUCAGUGGUAUCAGUUGUAAUGUGAUGUAGCUCUAGUUGUUUUUAUUUAUUUAUUUAUUUUUAUUUUUUUUAUUUUCAGAAAUUUGAGAUCCCUGAAUCCUUGCCAGGGGCAGAGAGAUGAAACUUCAAGACCCUUUGGAAUGGAAGCAGGCCAGAAGAGGUGGAAGUUCUUUCUCCCCUACAGGUACUGAAAUGAACUCAAUUCACCACUGAAGGUUUCCUGUGGGCCUACAAAGAGACUCUUCAUGUCAUUUUCAAAGUUAGUACUUAUUCCCUGUGUGACCUGACUGAGCCGUUGGUUACAAGCACAAAGUGUCUGAACCUGACAAUGGAAUCUGCAGUCUGUUUCUGGAACUGUCUGCCCAAUUUGAUGGCCCUCUGCAGGCUUGCAUGA